rnacentral:rRNA from 1 species
UUUAUGGAGAGUUUGAUCCUGGCUCAGGAUGAACGCUGGCGGCGUGCCUAAUACAUGCAAGUCGAGCGAACGGACGAGAAGCUUGCUUCUCUGAUGUUAGCGGCGGACGGGUGAGUAACACGUGGAUAACCUACCUAUAAGACUGGGAUAACUUCGGGAAACCGGAGCUAAUACCGGAUAAUAUUUUGAACCGCAUGGUUCAAAAGUAAAAGACGGUCUUGCUGUCACUUAUAGAUGGAUCCGCGCUGCAUUAGCUAGUUGGUAAGGUAACGGCUUACCAAGGCAACGAUGCAUAGCCGACCUGAGAGGGUGAUCGGCCACACUGGAACUGAGACACGGUCCAGACUCCUACGGGAGGCAGCAGUAGGGAAUCUUCCGCAAUGGGCGAAAGCCUGACGGAGCAACGCCGCGUGAGUGAUGAAGGUCUUCGGAUCGUAAAACUCUGUUAUUAGGGAAGAACAUAUGUGUAAGUAACUGUGCACAUCUUGAC